UACGUAGGGGGCAAGCGUUGUCCGGAAUUAUUGGGCGUAAAGAGCGUGUAGGCGGUCCGGUAAGUCGGCUGUGAAAGUCCAGGGCUCAACCCUGGGAUGCCGGUCGAUACUGCCGGACUAGAGUUCGGAAGAGGCGGGCGGAAUUCCGGGUGUAGCGGUGGAAUGCGUAGAGAUCCGGAAGAACACCGGUGGCGAAGGCGGCCCGCUGGGAUCCUUGCUGACGCUGAGGCACGAAAGCGUGGGGAGCAAACAGG
rnacentral:rRNA from 1 species